rnacentral:rRNA from 1 species
UACAGAGGUCUCAAGCGUUGUUCGGAUUCAUUGGGCGUAAAGGGUGCGUAGGUGGCGGGGUAAGUCAGGUGUGAAAUCUCGAGGCUCAACCUCGAAACUGCACUUGAUACUGCCUUGCUCGAGUACUGGAGAGGAGAUUGGAAUUUACGGUGUAGCAGUGAAAUGCGUAGAUAUCGUAAGGAAGACCAGCGGCGAAGGCGACUCUUUGGCCUGUAACUGACGCUGAGGCGCGAAAGCGUGGGGAGCAAACAGG